AAUAUUGCACAAUGGGGGAAACCCUGAUGCAGCGACGCCGCGUGAGCGAAGAAGGCCUUCGGGUCGUAAAGCUCUGUCCUUGGGGAAGAAGGUCUUCGGACUUGACGGUACCUAAGGAGGAAGCCCCGGCUAACUACGCGCCAGCAGCCGCGGUAAUACGUAGGGGGCAAGCGUUGUCCGGAAUUAUUGGGCGUAAAGGGUGCGUAGGCGGCCUUUUAAGUCAGAUGUGAAAGCCCACGGCUUAACCGUGGGACUGCAUUUGAAACUGGAGGGCUUGAGUAUCGGAGAGGGAAGUGGAAUUCCCAGUGUAGCGGUGGAAUGCGUAGAUAUUGGGAGGAACACCAGUGGCGAAGGCGACUACCUGGACGAAAACUGACGCUGAGGCACGAAAGCGUGGGUAGCGAAC
rnacentral:rRNA from 1 species